rnacentral:rRNA from 1 species
GUGUCAGCAGCCGCGGUAAUACGGAGGAUGCAAGCGUUAUCCGGAAUGAUUGGGCGUAAAGGGUCCGCAGGUGGCAAUGUGUGUCUGCUGUCAAAGAAUGAGGCUUAACCUCAUCAAGGCAGUGGAAACUACAUAGCUAGAGUACGGUCGGGGUAGAAGGAAUUCCUGGUGUAGCGGUGAAAUGCGUAGAGAUCAGGAAGAACACCGGUGGCGAAAGCGUUCUGCUAGACCUGUACUGACACUGAGGGACGAAAGCUAGGGGAGCGAAUGGGAUUAGAUACCCCGGUAGUCC